AUACGGAGGGUGCAAGCGUUGUUCGGAAUCACUGGGCGUAAAGGGCGCGCAGGCGGUUUGGUAAGUCAGAUGUGAAAGCCCACGGCUCAACCGUGGAAGUGCAUUUGAAACUGUCAGACUUGAGUACUAGAGGGGAAAGUGGAAUUCCCGGUGUAGAGGUGAAAUUCGUAGAUAUCGGGAGGAAUACCGGUGGCGAAGGCGACUUUCUGGCUAGAUACUGACGCUGAGGCGCGAAAGCGUGGGGAGCAAACAGAAUUAGAUACCCUUGUAGUCC
rnacentral:rRNA from 1 species